rfam:Brachypodium distachyon strain Bd21 chromosome 1, whole genome shotgun sequence.
GUGGAAGGGGCAUGCAGAGGAGCAGGGAUGAUGGGGGGUUGUACUCUGCUUCUUCCCCUCUCGUUCUCCUGUGCCUGCCUCUUCCAUU